rnacentral:tRNA from 1 species
UUUGUGGUAGCUAAAUUUUAAGCAAUAGGCUUUUAACCUUUUGAUGCACUGCUGUGCUCACAGAA